UACAGAGGUUCCAAGCGUUGUUCGGAUUCACUGGGCGUAAAGGGUUCGUAGGCGGUCGGGUAAGUCUGAUGUGAAAUCUCACAGCUUAACUGUGAAACUGCAUUGGAUACUAUCCGGCUCGAGGAAUGGAGGGGAGACUGGAAUACUUGGUGUAGCAGUGAAAUGCGUAGAUAUCAAGUGGAACACCAGUGGCGAAGGCGAGUCUCUGGACAGUUCCUGACGCUGAGGAACGAAAGCCAGGGGAGCAAACGGG
rnacentral:rRNA from 1 species